GGAAGAGCGAGGACUCGAAGAGGGAGGACCGGCGGGAGUGAUCUGAUUCGGCGGAGCAGAAACCAAAUGGGAGUGAUCUGAUUCGUCGGAGCAGAAACCAAAAUCUUAAUCUCCAUUCUCAAGAACUCUCCUCCUAGGGUUUUACAAUGCUUCUCCUCCCCACUUUUCUCCGCCCCCUUCCCAUUUUCCGUUGCGGGAUCUCACUAGGACGUGGAUCCAAACCAUCCUCAAGGUUCGAUCCGCCUCCUUCAGAUGUUUCUUCCAUCGCUCGUGAAUUGUUGAUGAAGGGUAAAAUUCAGAAGUCGUCUCUUGCUAUCUGCAUCUUAAUGGCAUAACUGCUGUCUGGAGCUUUCGUUGUAGGCGAUGGGUGUGAUAUGCAUUUCCUCAGCUCCAUGAAGGUCACAAAUUAAGCAGAAGGGACGUGUUCACCUCAACCUACAAAUACAAUUGAAUGGAACAGUCAUGAGCUAAACAAAAAAAAAGCCACGCAUCAAUGGACGAUAUAAUAGACUAACCAUCAUGAACAUCGAACCCUGAGGUCUGUUGUGGCAAUGGGGCACUUGGAUCUGAUCUAUCCCUGUAUAAAUGGCAUCCGCUGAAGAUUCCAGUUCUGUGAGGACAUUUCUAUAGAAUUCUUCAUGGGCAUCGGGUAGAAUAGCAGGAACUGCAGCCUGUUCCAAGA